rnacentral:rRNA from 1 species
GACGAACGCUGGCGGCGUGCUUAACACAUGCCAGUCGAACGGAAAGGCCCUGCUUUUGUGGGGUGCUCGAGUGGCGAACGGGUGAGUAACACGUGAGUAACCUGCCCUUGACUUUGGGAUAACUUCAGGAAACUGGGGCUAAUACCGGAUAGGAGCUCCUGCUGCAUGGUGGGGGUUGGAAAGUUUCGGCGGUUGGGGAUGGACUCGCGGCUUAUCAGCUCGUUGGUGGGGUAGUGGCUUACCAAGGCUUUGACGGGUAGCCGGCCUAAGAGGGUGACCGGCCACAUUGGGACUGAGAUACGGCCCAGACUCCUACGGGAGGCAGCAGUGGGGAAUAUUGCACAAUGGGCGGAAGCCUGAUGCAGCAACGCCGCGUGCGGGAUGACGGCCUUCGGGUUGUAAACCGCUUUCGCCUGUGACGAAGCGUGAGUGACGGUAAUGGGUAAAGAAGCACCGGCUAACUACGUG